rnacentral:rRNA from 1 species
AACGAACGCUGGCGGCAGGCCUAACACAUGCAAGUCGAGCGCGCCCUUCGGGGUGAGCGGCGGACGGGUGAGUAACGCGUGGGAACGUGCCCUUUUCUACGGAACAGCCUCGGGAAACUGAGAGUAAUACCGUAUACGCCCUUUGGGGGGAAGAUUUAUCGGAAAGGGAUCGGCCCGCGUUGGAUUAGGUAGUUGGUGGGGUAAUGGCCUGCCAAGCCGACGAUCCAUAGCUGGUUUGAGAGGAUGAUCAGCCACACUGGGACUGAGACACGGCCCAGACUCCUACGGGAGGCAGCAGUGGGGAAUCUUAGACAAUGGGGGCAACCCUGAUCUAGCCAUGCCGCGUGAGUGAUGAAGGCCUUAGGGUUGUAAAGCUCUUUCAGCUGGGAAGAUAAUGACGGUACCAGCAGAAGAAGCCCCGGCUAACUCCGUGCCAGCAGCCGCAGUAA